rnacentral:lncRNA from 1 species
CUCCCCUAUCCCUCUCUCUGAAAUGAACUUCUGAUACCCCUUUCUUAACAACAACAAAACCCUAUCUUCUCCCACAAAAAUAAAACUAAAUAAAAACACCGAAGCACGCCCACUCUAGGAUUAAGGAUGAACACCCUAUGGUGUUCAUCAUUACCAUCUCAAAAGAAAACGCCUAAUGCCCCCUGUCCCUCACUCUCAGCCUUAAUAUUCUUCAACCAAAAUGGAAGUUCUUAUGCAAACCUUUAAACAACAAAGAAUCCAUCCAGACAAACACAUCUAUACAAAUAAAUUUCAGCAAACAAGCGGCAAAACAACGAGGCAGUGAUUAAAUGUAAAGUGCAGACAAACCAAACUUCGACCCUUAUCCCCAAUCAACAUCCUUUGACCCCGAUUUCACGGUUUCCCAAGAAUCACGAUAACAGGGGGGAAGGAAGCGUGAUUCGACAUUAUUUAAGCAAGUUUAGAUGAUACCAAGAUGACUUACAGGUAGCUAACCUUUUCGAUUCUUUUCGAUAUGCUUUUCCUUUCUCUUCCUUUCGCCUCCGUCGUCACCGUUAUCGUCGUGGUAAUGGUUUUUCUUGGCAAUCUGCGGCUUAGCUUAAGUUUGUUGAGUUUCAGUGUGAAAACUUUUUAGGGCUUUCAGAAAAUAUUGCUCUGUGUUCUUGCUGUUAACUUUUUUAGGGUUUUCAGAAAUAUUGUUGUGUUCUUUCUGUUAACUUUUUAGGGUUUUCAGAAAUAUUGUUGUGUUCUUCUUGAUGUGAGAACAAUUGCUUUGUUAUCUCAUGUCUGUUUUCGUUAACCUCUAAUCAAUCUCUUUAUGAAGAAUUUCUUAAGUCUUAAAAAAACUUCUUUUUCAAUUUGUCUCAUCCCAGAUUAUGUGGGAUUUGAUUUCUGUUGAUUUGUUCUGUUUUAAGCCAUUUUCAAAAUGCUUUUUUGAGUAUUCAUGUUAGCCUUUUGGAUAAAGCAUUAAACUGAAUAGUUUAUUUAGUUGUUUUCAGUUUCUUAAACGCUUCUAAAAAGUGCUUUUUAAUUAAGCUGUUUUUUUCUCUUUGCAGGUUACAGGUGAAUUGACUUGAUUGGAAUGGAAAGUGGGCUGUAAGAAAGCAAAUUUUGGAGGCGCGCCCAAGUCCAGAGAGUUUUCAACCUGACUACCUGGUCUUGGUCUUUAGGAACCUGUUUUUCCAACAGCAGCACUUUUUUCAUUUAAUUAAAAUGUAAUUACUUAGGUUUCCUUUUUAAGACAAAUGUGUAUUUGGACUAUUUGUAACCUGUUGGAUUUGAAGUCUAAUAGCCAUUAGCAACUAUGUAUUCAACAUGAUUUUAAUAUUAUUUCAAACAAUUUUUCCAUAUUAA